rnacentral:rRNA from 2 species
UACAGAGGGUGCAAGCGUUAAUCGGAAUUACUGGGCGUAAAGGGUGCGUAGGUGGAUAAAUAAGUUGGACGUGAAAGCCCCGGGCUCAACCUGGGAUGGUCGUCCAAUACUGUUUGUCUAGAGUAUGGUAGAGGGUGGUAGAAUUUCCGGUGUAGCGGUGAAAUGCGUAGAUAUCGGAAGGAAUAUCAAUGGCGAAGGCAGCCACCUGGGCUAAUACUGACACUGAGGCACGAAAGCAUGGGGAGCAAACAGG